ensembl:lncRNA
GGCUGCCACCCCCCACACCCACAUACCAGGGCACUCCAGAAGACUGCAUCUGCUGGGAUAAUGCAGCUGGAAAUACCCGUCCCUCUAGGCUGUGCCUCCCUCAUGAAUAGCUAACCAAAAAUUCACAAGCUCUUCACAUGAUCAGCCGAACAACCCAAACCCCCAGCCCUCGAAUGCUCUGUGCACUUCUGCUUCAGGCCACAAGCAUGAAGGCUGCUUUUCUCCUGAUGGGUGUUAUUUUCAGACUACGAUUAACCAACUCUGCUGAUUAAUAUGAAAUUAUAAACAUCAUCCGGCCAAGCUCAUGACCCUGUGGCUUCAGUUUUUUCCUCUUCUGAAGUCAGCUGUAGGUUCAGCGACCAGAUGUAAGACGCAGACCUCAAAGUUAAUAUCCAGAGCCAAGACGAGGCCUGUGGUAUCUGGUUCUAGGAACACCCCGAACAGAAGGGAAGUGAAAGACUGGAGGAAUCUGUGGGGGAAGAGCAGAAGCAGACACGACUCCCCCGUCACAGCCACCAGAGAGAUGGAGAAGCAGACGAAACAGAAGCUCCUUCUCGUACAAGGUGAUGAAGCUUUAUGUGUGUUAUGACAGAUACCAAGCAGAGACUAAUACAGAAGAUGCAGGCUCAGCACCCAGUCCUAAAAGACAUGUAAUCCUUUCCUUUCCUGAAGGUGCCAGAGAAUCUGAGGUUUUUUUUCCCAGGCCCUUUGCCUAAACUCUUCUAGAUGUGCUGGGUGGCGUUCCUGAGCUCUGUACUUUACAUCUAUCCCUGGCUAAUGGGCAUGUUGGGUGCAUUUUUUAAGCACUGAUGCGGCGCUCUUUUAAUGCACCUACAUUUAAUCUAGGUUCAGUGGGCUAGCGGUGCAGAGCCAGCCCCUGAGUGCUGUGAGGGAGAAAGGGGAUGGAGGAAGGCUUACCAGAAAGACUGGAGCUCAGAAUUUUAGGGCAUGUAUACACGUGCCUGAUGCCUGCUCUGAUGCAUGCUAAUUCUGUUAAAGCAGAAUCCAUUAGUCGUGCCUGCUGGAGCAUGCUAAGUAGCACACUCCAGCAGCCGCGGCAUCACAUGUAUUCAGUGUCCCUGCACUACAAAAUGGAGGUGGGGGCACAUCCCAGCCAGGGCUUUGUUGAGCCAGGCCUUAAAAACCUCCAAGGACGGAGAUCCCACCACCUCUCUGAAUAACCUCUUCCAGUCCUUCCCCACCUGCCUUGUGAGAGAGUUUUUCCUAAUGUCUACCCUACACUUCCCUUGCUGCAUAUUGAGAUAGUUGCUCCUUGUUCUAUCUUUUGCCACCACUGAGAACGGUCCAGCUCAGGGGUUGUCAACCAGGGGUACGUGUACCCCCGGGGGUACUUGAGAAGGCCCUAGGGCGUAUGCACGGGUGGGUGGGGAUGGGGUGCUGCCAUGCACCAUCCUGCACUGCCGCACAGGCACCGCUUUGCAUCUGGCCAUGCGCCACUGCCCCCCCCAACUCCUGCAUCUGGCUACCAAGGGUACAGUGCUCCACGUCUAGCCACAGCGGGUGCACUGAUCCAGAAAGGUUGAAAACCUCUGGUCUAGCUCCAUCAUCUUUGGACUCCACUGCAGGUAGUUGAAGGCUGUUAUUAAAUCCCCCUCAGUCUUCUCUUCUGCGGGCUAAAUAAGCUCAGUUCCCUCUGCCUCUCCUCCCAAGCCAAGUGCCCAAACUCCCUAAACCAUUUUUGUUGCCAUCCGCUGGACUCGGAUGGGAAGGGGCAGAAGGGGCACAUGCCACAUGGAGGGGUGGGGGGGCACAUGCCCCCCAAGAUUUCUGCAUCCACAGCAGGGUGCAGAGCUGCAGCUGGGCCAAACCAGCUCUGGGCAGGACCUGCCUAUGCAGCUAUGGCAGCAGCAAGGGGCUGUGGGUUGGGAGUGAGAGGCAACAGCAUGGGCAGGGGCAGGGCACUGGCAUAUCGGGGCUGCUGAUUACUACCCGUCAAGUCUGACAAUCCAGUCAGUUUUCUAUCUACCUUACAGUCCAUUCAUCCAACCCAUACUUCCUCAGCUUGCCUGCAAGACUGCUGUGGGAGACGGUAUCAAAAGCCUUGCUAAAGUCAAGGUAUAUCACAUCCACUACUUUCCCCACGUCCACAGAGCCAGUCAUCUCAUCACAGAAGGCAAUCAGAUUCGUCAGGCAUGACUUGCCCUUGGUGACUGUUCCUAAUCACCUUAGUCAAUGCUGACUGUUCCUAAUCAUCUUCUUCUCGUUCAGAUGUUUAGAAACACUACGUGUUUAGAAACAUCUAUGCUAGGGACACACACACGCCUCUAGCUACAACAUUGUGAUGGAUUACGAAUUUCCAGGAACAAGAGUUUGCAAGCCAGUCAGCUGAGGUCAAAUAUUGUCAACUGACUGGUCGGUUGCAUAUUUUUGACCAGUCAAAGAUUAAGGCAAUUUUACAAAAAAUCUGUAUUUUCUGUGGGUGCUGUUUGUAGCUAUGUUGGUCUAAGGGCAUAGACAGACAAGAUAUUUGGGUAAAUGUGAUAUCUUUUAUUAGAUCAAUUGAACAGUUGGGAAAAUUGUUCUGUGCAAACUUACGGGCACGGGCACCCUUCUUUAGGCAUAGGGAAGAGACUCCCUAUGCCUGACAAGGGCACCUAUGCCCAAAAGUUUGCAAAGAACAAUUUCCCCAGCUAUUCAGUUGGUCUAAUAAAAAAUACCACGUUUACUCA